rnacentral:tRNA from 1 species
CCAAUAGGGCUGCUACCGCAGGCUACUUUGAUAUAGUAGAUUGAAGACUAUAUUGUCUCGUUGGU